GCCUUCGUGGUGUAGUGGUCAGCACGCUCGGCGCGUAUUCGAGAGGUCCGUGGUUCGAGUCCCGGUGAGAGCU
rnacentral:tRNA from 1 species